rnacentral:tRNA from 1 species
UCCCUGGUAGCUCAGACGGUAAAGCAUCUGCUUACAAUGCGGGAGACCUGGGUUCGAUCCCUGGGUUGGGAA